rnacentral:rRNA from 1 species
UACAGAGGUCUCAAGCGUUGUUCGGAUUCAUUGGGCGUAAAGGGUGUGUAGGUGGCGCCGUAAGUCGGGUGUGAAAUUUCGGAGCUUAACUCCGAAACUGCAUUCGAUACUGCGGUGCUUGAGGACUGGAGAGGAGACUGGAAUUCAUGGUGUAGCAGUGAAAUGCGUAGAGAUCAUGAGGAAGACCAGUGGCGAAGACGGGUCUCUGGACAGUUCCUGACACUGAGACACGAAGGCCAGGGGAGCAAACGGG